rnacentral:lncRNA from 1 species
CUCACAGCAGAUAAUUGACUUUCUAAGUUCACCAACAUUUAUAAUUCUCCUUUCACCACUUGUAUCUACCUAAAACUCCAGGAGAGAAACUCCUAGAAAUGAAAAUACUGGGUCAAGUGUAUAACUAUUAUGAAGACUCAUCACAGGAAAGUUGCUUUCCAAAUGCAUUGUUAUUUUAUGGGAUGGUGUUUUAACAGAAAUGAUCUGUGCUUCAAAGAAAAAGCAUAGUGCAAUGUUUUCUAGAAUAGUAGAUUCUGGGGCUAGAUAAAGGUAAUGUCAUGUGGGAAAGUCAGUGAUUCUUUUCAGUCCAUCUCACAUGUGCAUAAAGGCAGGAGAAUUAUAGAUCCUGCUGUUUGGAUAGCAAGACAAGAUAAUAAUUCUCCCCAUUUUAGCCAAUUCUGAGGUCUUGAGUUUUCUGCAUAAAACGUUCCUUGACUUUUACACACAUCAUUACAAAUGUGCAUUGAAUCAUUUCUUGAUGCCUUGCAGUGAUUAUAGUUUAUCAGUUUUAUCUUUUUUUUUUCUAUGUAUUCUGCAUUUUUCAGUUACUUCCUGGUAAAUGCUGGUGGAAUGUGAAUUUCUUACUGAAUAUUAUAAGAGAAUAAUUUCACCUGUUUAAAAGAAUGCAAAAGAAAUCUACUUUUUGAAAAUUGAAUAUCUAUGUAUACCAAAUAUAUAUAGUAAUCUCACAAAUUCCACAUUAAAAAGAUGUUUCUGAAUAUUCCAAUUAUCCUUCAUUUAUUUAUUUGUACUAUCUAGUCUUGAAGAGAAUUUGGCAAGUUAAAGCUUCUGCAAACAAAAGCAAAUAGCCUGAUUGAAAAAUGGCAAAGGACAUGAACAGACACUUCUCAAAAGAAGACAUACAAGUGACCAAAAAACAUGAAAUAAUUCUCAGCAUUACUAAUCAUCAAAGAAAUGCAAACCAAAACCACAAUGAGAUACAUCCUACACCAGUCAGAAUGACUUUCAAAAAGUCAAGAAAAACAAGAUGUUGAUGAGGCUGCAGAGAAAAGGGAAUGCUUGUACAUUGUUCGUGGUAAUGUAAAUAAGUUCAUCCAUUAUGGAAAACAGUCUGAAAAUUUCUCAAUAAACUUAAAAUAGAGCUACCAUUCAACCUAGUAAUCCCAUUACUGGGUAUAUACCCAAAGGAAAAGAAAUCAUUUCCCAAAAAUGCAUGCACUCGUGUUCCUUACAAUGCUAUUCACAAUAGCAAAAACAUAGAAUUAAGCCAGGUUCCCAUCAAUGGUAGAGAGGAUAAAGAAAAUGUGGUACCUAUAUACCAUGGAAUACUAUACAGCAAUACAAAGAAUAAAACCAUGACUUUUGUGGAGACAUGGAUGCAACUGGAGGCAAUAAUUCUAAGUGAAGUAAUACAGGAACAGAAAAUCAAACACUGCAUGUUCUUACUUAUAAGUGGGAGCUAAACAUUGAAUACACAUGGACUUAAAGAUGGAAACGUUAGACAUUGUGGACUAUUACAGUGGGGAGGGAGAGAAGAAAAGGGAGUGUGCACUGAAAAACUACCUAGUAGGUAGUAUGCUUACUAACUGAGUGAUGGGAUCUGUUCCCCAAACCUCAGCAUCAUGCAAUGUACUCAUAUAACAAAACUGCAUAUGUAUCCCCUGUAUCUAAGAGAAAAGUUGAAAUUUAAAAAUUAAAAUGUAAAACAAACAAACAAACAAAUGAAAUGAAGGUAGUGAUUAUCCAUUUGUGGGGAAAAAAAACCUUCUACCAACAUUUAAUAUGGCGUAUACAUAGAAAGAAGUCCCAACAGAUAUAUGCUUUAUUCAAGUUAUUUAUUUUAUUGAGUGCUGCAGUAUUUAUUUGCAUGUAUCAUCUCUUAUUGGAUUACAUGCAACUGGAAUAAUAAAAAAGAGAUUAUUGUACCCAAAUUUCUAUUCUCUUUGUCCCUGCUUUACUAUUCUUCAAUAAAUUAUCCACAUUACAGCCAGAAUAAUUGUUUAAAAAUUGUGUUUGAUUAUAUGAUGUUUUUUUUUUAAAACCCUUACAUGGCUUUCCAAAGCACUAAGGUAAAGGAAAAACAUGUGAAUAUUGCUUACAAGACCUGAGCAAUGAGACUCUUCCUAUUGUCCAUCCCUCUUUUCUCAUUGUCACGUACUUUUUUUACCCCUACCCACGCAACCCACUCUACCAGCAUGCUACUUCUUAUCCAGACACAUAUUCAUUACAUUUAAUUUCUAAUUUCUUCAAGUUAUUUGUUUAUAGUGCAGUUUUCUGUCAAAUAAUUUAUGCCAAUGGUCCUUAACACUUUUUCUUCAUUUGGCUACAAUCUACUCAACUUUCGGGGUUUACCAUAGAUAUCAGUUUUGCUGGGAAGAAUAUAAGCUGAUUUUACAAAUCUGGAGUGAAACGCUUUUCUGUUAGGGCAA